rnacentral:rRNA from 1 species
CCAUGCAUGUCUAAGUGCACGCCUCAAUACGGUGAAACCGCGAAUGGCUCAUUAAAUCAGCUAUGGUUUAUUGGAUCGUACCCGUUAAAUGGAUAACUGUAAUAACUCUAGAGCUAAUACAUGCCACGAAGCCCUGACUUGUACCUCUCGGUAUAGGGAUGGGUGCACUUAUUAGAUCAGAAACCAACCGAGCCUGUGUCAGCACCGCCUUCUCGGAGGUGGCUGGUGUGGACUCGUUGUCGUUCUGGUGACUCUGGAUAAUUGUUACAGAUCGCAGUCGGCCUUGCGUCGGCGACGGGUCCUUCAAAUGUCUGCCCUAUCAACUUUCGAUGGUAGGUGAUCUGCCUACCAUGGUGAUAACGGGUAACGGGGAAUCAGGGUUCGAUUCCGGAGAGGGAGCCUGAGAAACGGCUACCACUUCCAAGGGAGGCAGCAGGCGCGCAAAUUACCCACUCCCGGUACGGGGAGGUGGUGACGAAAAAUACCGAUGCGGGACUCUUCAAGAGGCUCCGUAAUCGGAAUGAGUGAACUCUAAAUCCUUUCACGAGGAUCAAUUGGAGGGCAAGUCUGGUGCCAGCAGCCGCGGUAACUCCAGCUCCAAUAGCGUAUAUUAAAGUUGCUGCAGUUAAAAAGCUCGUAGUUGGAUCUCGGUAUCACUGUUGCCUGCCAUUGCUUGGCCAGCUGGGUGCCGGGUGAUGCGGCUGAAUGCUGUGUUGCCUCUGGUGUCCGACUGUCGUCGAGUUGGUGUGGUGGCGGUGCCACCUUUUAGCCAUGUCUGUGGUGAAAUACCCACAGGUGUGGGCGAGUGUCGGGCGGUGCUCUACAGCUGUAGGGUCCGUCGGCUCGUCUGCAUGCCUUUGGAUGCCCUUCAAAAGGUGUCUGUGGGCGGAUGGCACGUUUACUUUGAACAAAUUUGAGUGCUCAAACCAGGCCGUUGUAGCCUGAAAGUUUUGCAUGGAAUAAUGGAAUAGGACUUCGGUUCUAUUUUGUUGGUUUUCGGAUCCGAAGUAAUGAUCAAAA